AUUGAACGCGGGCGGCACGCCUAACACAUGCAAGUCGAACGGCAGCACAAUACUAGCUUGCUAGUAUGGGUGGCGAGUGGCGGACGGGUGAGUACCACGUAGGAAUCUGUCCUUUAGUGGGGGAUAACUCAGGGAAACUUGAGCUAAUACCGCAUAAAAUCUGCGGAGGAAGGUGUGCCUCUAUUUAUAAGCACACGCUCGAGGGUGAGCCUGCGUCGGAUUAGCGAGUUGGUUAGGUAAAGGCUGACCAAGGCAAUGAUCCGUAGCUGGUCUGAGAGGACGGCCAGCCACACUGGGACUGAGACACGGCCCAGACUCCUACGGGAGGCAGCAGUGGGGAAUAUUGGACAAUGGGGGCAACCCUGAUCCAGCGAUGCCGCGUGUGUGAAGAAGGCCUGCGGGUUGUAAAGCACUUUAGUCGGGGAGGAAGGUUGAUGGUCGAAUAGGCUGUCAAAUUGACGUUACCCGAAGAAUAAGCACCGGCAAACUCUGUGCCAGCAGCCGCGGUAAAAC
rnacentral:rRNA from 1 species